GAUGAACGCUAGCGACAGGCUUAACACAUGCAAGUCGAGGGGCAGCAUAGAAGUAGCAAUACUUUGGUGGCGACCGGCGCACGGGUGAGUAACGCGUAUGCAACCUACCUAUCAGAGGGGAAUAACCCGGCGAAAGUCGGACUAAUACCGCAUAACACAGGGGCACCGCAUGGUGAUAGUUGUUAAAGAAAUUCGCUGAUAGAUGGGCAUGCGUUCCAUUAGGUAGUUGGUGAGGUAACGGCUCACCAAGCCGACGAUGGAUAGGGGAACUGAGAGGUUGGUCCCCCACACUGGUACUGAGACACGGACCAGACUCCUACGGGAGGCAGCAGUGAGGAAUAUUGGUCAAUGGGCGAGAGCCUGAACCAGCCAAGUCGCGUGAAGGAAGAAGGAUCUAUGGUUCGUAAACUUCUUUUGCAGGGGAAUAAAGUGCAGGACGUGUCCUGUUUUGUAUGUACCCUGAGAAUAAGGAUCGGCUAACUCCGUGCCAGCCGCCGCAGUAA
rnacentral:rRNA from 1 species